UACGAAAGGGGCUAGCGUUGUUCGGAAUUACUGGGCGUAAAGCGCACGUAGGCGGCCUUGUAAGAUGGGGGUGAAAUCCCCGGGCUCAACCCGUGAUCUGCCUUCAUGACUGCAAAGCUAGAGGAUGCGAGAGGUUAGCGGAAUUCCGAGUGUAGAGGUGAAAUUCGUAGAUAUUCGGAAGAACACCAGUGGCGAAGGCGGCUAACUGGCGGAUUUCUGACGCUGAGGUGCGAAAGCGUGGGGAGCAAACAGG
rnacentral:rRNA from 1 species